GGGUUGGUGGUUGAACUUCGAUUUUAAGCAUUUAAAUAAGAUAAAUCUGUUCAUUCUUCGACCCA
rnacentral:pre_miRNA from 1 species